GAAAGCGGCAAUUAUAUUAAGGCGUAGUGUUUAGGCAAUUUCUGAUGUUGUCCUCUCCAGUUAUCUCUGUGUUAGUCGUAAAUCCUCUUAAGUGUUAGUUAGAGGUGAUUAGUGAGUGAGUGAGUUGGUUGGUUCAAAGAAUUUACUCUUCUGGGUGAAUUGAUUCGAUGAGGUAUAAUUCAGUAACUCAAUGAUUGUGUGUUAUCACAUCAGUUCCUGAAUUAUUUGUGAUUUACAGAUUUACAGUUAAUUGGUUUUAACUGAUGAGUACCUAUUGGUUAACUUACUCAU